UCCUACGGGGCGCAGCAGUGAGGAAUAUUGGACAAUGGGCGCAAGCCUGAUCCAGCCAUGCCGCGUGCAGGAAGACGGUCCUAUGGAUUGUAAACUGCUUUUAUACAGGAAGAAACACUCCCUCGUGAGGGAACUUGACGGUACUGUAUGAAUAAGCAUCGGCUAACUCCGUGCCAGCAGCCGCGGUAAUACGGAGGAUGCAAGCGUUAUCCGGAAUCAUUGGGUUUAAAGGGUCCGUAGGCGGUUUAAUAAGUCAGUGGUGAAAGCCCAUCGCUCAACGAUGGAACGGCCAUUGAUACUGUUAAACUUGAAUUAUUAGGAAGUAACUAGAAUAUGUAGUGUAGCGGUGAAAUGCUUAGAGAUUACAUGGAAUACCAAUUGCGAAGGCAGGUUACUACUAAUAUAUUGACGCUGAUGGACGAAAGCGUGGGGAGCGAACAGGAUUAGAUACCCUGGUAGC
rnacentral:rRNA from 1 species